CCGCGCAUGCGCGUCUCCCGUCCCCGCCUCCCGCCGCGCGCACCGCCAACGGCUCCUCCGGUCGUGAUCGUCCUGCCGGGCCCCCCAGUCCCCUGCUCUGGGGCCUGUGUCCCCUUGAGCUCCGACUCCACCCCCACCGCAGCCAGGCUGGCCGCCGAGCGCUGCUGGGCUGGGUGGUCCUGGAGACCAGGAGACAGGACAGUCACCGUGCAAACCCCCAGCCCUCCGUCUGGACCCCAGGGCCUGGCUGGCACCCUCUCCCAAGGUCAGAGUCACCGAUCCCGGUUUCAGUGGAGGAAACGGAGGCUCAGAGAGUCACCAUAUGAGCUGGCCUGUCACGGGCCGUGACGUGGCCCCGCCGUGGGUUUGAGUCCAGGCCAACAUGGCCCCAAAGGCUGUCCUUGCACAGGAGCCUGAGGCUCUGAGCCCAGCCUUGGAGGCUGACAUGGAUGCAGGGGGUCCCUCAUCUGCUGGUUGGAGAGCAGCAAGAAGCUGAUGUUGCAGAUCCUGAGACCCAACCCUCAUGUGCCUGAGGCUGCCAAGGGCAUGUGGAGCUGAAGACGAGGGCUGCUGGAGGCUGAGGGCCAUGGGGAUGCUGAGGAUGGAACGUAUACUCCUAUCCCCCAAGGAGUGGAGGAUUGGCAGAGCCCAGACCCCACAGGGUGCCCUGUGCCAGCGUCCAACCCCAGGGGCUUCUAGGAGCUGGGGCGUCUUGGUCCCCUCUGGGUAUGGAGGGAGUGAGAAAUAGAAAUAUUUAUCUGAAAUCCAUUUGCAAUCUCAAGGGAACCUGAGCAGCCAAAACAAAAUUUUAAAGAGCAACGUAGGAGGAUGCCACCUCCUGACUCCAGAACACAUUACAGAUCUUUGUUAAUCAAGAUGGCGUGGCACUGGCACAAAAAUAAGCAGAGCAGAGGGACAGGAGCCAGGGCACACGAUGGGGAAAGGACAGUCUCUUCAGCAAAUGAUGUUGGGACAGCUGGAUGUUUAUGUGCAGAAGAACAAAAGUGGGCCCUUAUACUGUACAAAAAUUAACUCAAAAUGGAUUUAAGACCUAAAUAAAAGUCUGAAAUCUAUGAAACUCCCGAAAUAAAACAGGGGCAACGCUCAUGACACUAGAUUGAUAAUGAUUUUCCGUAUGUGACAGCAGUCACAGGAAACAGCAUCAACAGCAGAGCGAAUAGGCGCACGCCAGAGGGCGUGGCAGUUGGAAAGACAGCCUGCAGGGCGGCGGGAAAUAUGUGAAGGUCGUGUAUCCAACAACGGGUUAGUAUCCAGAAGGAGUAAAGUACUUGUGCUUGUUGAAAAAUGGGCAGAGGACUUGAAUAGACGUGUCUCCAAUGAUACACAGAUGACCAACAAGCAUAUGAAAAUGUGCUUAAAAUCACUAAUCAUUAGAGCAAUAUAAACCCCAAACACAGAGAUAAAAUCUCACACAUCAAAUGAGGCUGACUGCUUAAUUAAAAAUAGAGAAGAUACCAAGUAUUUGCAAAGAUACGGAGAAACUGGAGCUUGCGUGCGCUGUUGAUAUGAUUUUAAAAUGGCAUAACCACUAUGGGAAACAGUAUGGAGAUGACUUAAAAAAAAAAAUACAACUGCUUUGUGAUCCAGUAUUCCAAACUCUGUGUAUAUAUUUAGAAUUGAAAGCAGAGUCUGCAAGAGAAACUUGCAUGCCCAUAUUUCCCAGUAGCCAAGGGGUGGAAGCACCCAGUGUUCAGUGGUGGACGAAUGGAUAACACACGUGGUUGAGUCAUACAGUGAAAUAUUAUUCAGCUUUAUAAAGGAAGGAAAUCCUGGUAUAUGCUAAUGUCAUAGAUGAGUCUUGAGGACAUUAUGAUAAGUGAAACAAGCCGUUCACAAGAGAUAAGCACUGUUGAAUCUACUCCUGGGAGGCAUGUAAAGCAGUCUUCCUCAUGGGAAUGGAAACUAGAAUGGUGCUUACCAGGAGACUGGGGGGCAGGGGAGACGGGGAGCCUUGUCUGGGGCGUGGAGUUUCCCAUUUGCAAGAUGAAAAGCUCUGGGUGGAGAGUUGCUUCACAACAAUGUAAGUGUACUGUGAGCAGUGCUGACCUGUGCACUAACGUGGUGAAGAUGGCAAAUUAAAUGCUGUAACUUCUUUUAAAAAAACAUACAAUAAAAAGAGAGUGAUUCUA